CGGCACCAGCUCAAAUUUGAAAUCUGGCCUCUCGGGGUCCGAGUUGUAAUUUGUAGAGGAUGUUUUGGGUACCGCCCCGGUCUAAAUUUCUUGGAACAGAAUGUCAGAGAGGGUGAGAAUCCCGUCUUGGACCGGCGGUAGGGCCUGUGUAAAACUCCUUCGACGAGUCGAGUUGUUUGGGAAUGCAGCUCAAAAUGGGUGGUAAAUUUCAUCUAAAGCUAAAUAUUGGCCAGAGACCGAUAGCGCACAAGUAGAGUGAUCGAAAGAUGAAAAGCACUUUGAAAAGAGAGUUAAACAGUAUGUGAAAUUGUUGAAAGGGAAGCGCUUGCAACCAGACUUGAGCGCGGCGGUUCCCCUGGCCUUUUUGGCCAGGCUACUCCGUCGUGUCCAGGCCAACAUCGGUUCUGAGGGUCGGUCAAAGGCUCUGGGAAUGUAUCUACCCAC
rnacentral:rRNA from 1 species